UGGGGAGGCCCUGAUGGCACUGG
rnacentral:piRNA from 1 species